UACGGUGGGGGCAAGCGUUGUUCGGAAUUACUGGGCGUAAAGGGCGUGUAGGUGGUUAACUAAGUCAGGUGUGAAAGCCCUCAGCUCAACUGAGGAAGCGCAUCUGAAACUGGUUAACUUGAGUACGGGAGAGGAGAGUGGAAUUCCUGGUGUAGAGGUGAAAUUCGUAGAUAUCAGGAGGAACAUCGGUGGCGAAGGCGACUCUCUGGACCGAUACUGACACUGAGACGCGAAAGCGUGGGGAGCAAACAGG
rnacentral:rRNA from 1 species